rnacentral:rRNA from 1 species
AGAACGAACGCUGGCGGCAGGCUUAACACAUGCAAGUCGAACGCCCCGCAAGGGGAGUGGCAGACGGGUGAGUAACGCGUGGGAAUAUACCCUUCGGUUCGGAAUAACUCAGGGAAACUUGAGCUAAUACCGGAUACGGCCGAGAGGCGAAAGAUUUAUCGCCGAAGGAUUAGCCCGCGUUGGAUUAGCUAGUUGGUGGGGUAAAGGCCUACCAAGGCGACGAUCCAUAGCUGGUCUGAGAGGAUGAUCAGCCACACUGGGACUGAGACACGGCCCAGACUCCUACGGGAGGCAGCAGUGGGGAAUCUUGGACAAUGGGCGAAAGCCUGAUCCAGCCAUGCCGCGUGAGUGAAGAAGGCCUUAGGGUUGUAAAGCUCUUUCGGCGGGGAAGAUAAUGACGGUACCCGCAGAAGAAGCCCCGGCUAACUCCGUGCCAGCAGCCGC